rnacentral:ncRNA from 1 species
CUGCUCAGGUGCCUCUGUGUAAUGCGGGGGAUAAUAGGGAACCGGGUGAGAAUCCCGGACGAUCCGGUCACUGUGUACGGACAGCUGCCGCGCAUCAUGCCAUUGCCGCAAGGUGAGAAGGCGCGCGGGGCGUUAAGCCAAAGUCAGGAGACCUGCCUGGGCGG